rnacentral:tRNA from 1 species
CAAGGAAUAGUUUGAAUUAAAAUACUAGCUUUGGGAGUUAGUGAUAUGGGUUAAAAUCCCCUUUCUUUGA